rnacentral:lncRNA from 1 species
CCGGGCAAGGCUAACGUGGUGGCGGAUGCGCUAAGUAGGAAAUCGAUGGAAAACUUAGCGAUGCAUGUUGUGACUCAACCGCAGUUGAUCGAGCAAAUGAAGCGGUUGGAGUUGGAGAUAGUGACUCCUGACACGCCUAUGAGGUUGAUGACAUUGGUGGUACAACCUACCUUAUUGGAAAGAAUCAAAGAAAAGCAAGCUUCCGAUGUGGAGUUGCAAAAGAUUAGAGGAAAAAUGGUUGAUGGUUGCACCGGCGAUUUCCUUGUGGACGACCGAGGGUUGAUGCGCUUUCGAGGACGACUAUGUGUUCCGGCGGAUUCGGAAAUUAAAGAAGAUAUUCUUCAAGAAGCGCACCGAGCGCCCUAUGCUAUACAUCCGGGUGGCACCAAAAUGUAUAAGGACUUAAAGUUGCUCUAUUGGUGGCCUGGGAUGAAAAAGGAUGUUGGCGAGUUUGUCGCUAGAUGCUUAACUUGCCAAUAAGUAAAGGCUGAGCACCGAGUUCCCGCGGGAAAACUUCAGAGUUUGCCUAUUCCCGUGUGGAAAUGGGAGAAGAUCACCAUGGACUUUGUGACUGGAUUGCCACGCUCUCAGGCGGGGCAUGACGCUAUUUGGGUGAUCGUGGAUAGGUUGACGAAGUCGGCGCACUUCAUACCUAUUCAUACGACUUGGACCGGAGAGAAGCUCGCACAAGUGUACCUUGAUGAGAUUGUGCGACUUCAUGGAGUGCCUACAUCGAUUGUAUCUGAUCGCGACACACGCUUCGUGUCUCACUUUUGGAGGAGUCUACAGGACGCCCUAGGCACUCGUCUGGACUUCAGUACUGCUUUCCACCCGCAGAGUGAUGGGCAGUCAGAGCGCACUAUUCAGACCUUAGAGGAUAUGCUCCGGGCAUUUGUGAUAGACUUUCAGGGAGGAUGGUCGCAGUAUCUACCUAUGGCGGAGUUUGCUUAUAACAACAGUUAUCAAGCAAGCAUCAAGAUGGCGCCCUUCGAAGCACUUUAUGGACGGAAAUGUAGAUCGCCACUUCAUUGGAGUGAAGUCGGCGAGAGUCUGGCUUUAGGCCCUGAUGUGCUUCAGGAAGCUGAGGACAAGGUUCGAAUUGCUCGGGAGCGACUUUUGACGGCGCAGAGUAGACAGAGGAGCUACGCCGAUCGACGACGGCGAGACUUGGAGUUCCAAGUUGGAGACCAUGUUUUCUUGAAGGUCUCGCCGACUAGAGGAAUCAAGAGAUUCGGGAUUCGGGGAAAGUUGAGCCCCCGUUUCAUUGGACCGUAUGAGAUCUUGGAACGUAUAGGUCCGGUAGCGUAUCGACUUGCUCUACCACGUAACCUAUCCGGCGUGCACGACGUCUUUCAUGUAUCGGUCCUUCGGAAAUACAUUCACGAUCCAGCUCACGUUUUGGAGACUAUACCAGUGGAGCUGCGCGAGAAUCUGAGCUUCGAGGAGCAACCUGUGAAGAUUUUAGCUCGCGAAGUGAAGAAGUUGCGGAAUCGGGACAUUCCGUAUGUGAAGAUUCUUUGGAGCAACCACGGGGAGCGAGAGGCUACGUGGGAGCUGGAGGGCGCGCUGCAGGAGCGCUAUCCCCAUCUUUUUCAGAUGGAGCCUUGAGGCAUGCUUUGACUUUCGAGUUUCGCGGACGAAACUCCUUUUUAGGAGGGGUGAAUGUAGCACACUGGACCUUUGCAAAUUGCGAGGUUCGAGUGUUUGAUCUGUGUGUCGAGCCAUCUCAGACUUUCUGAAGGGUCGUAGACAGUGUUCCGAUCUAUGGCUCGCAUCCCGAGAAUUGAGGGUUUAAACCUGUACCAAAAUCCCAAAAGGUUGGAUUGUUGGAGUACUCUCGGAUUAGCCUCAGCCAGGCUGUGUACCGGUACAGCCUUGAUGGUUGUACCGGUACAGAAUUUGUACCGGUACGCCUUGAUGGUUGUACCGGUACACAGUAGAUUUUCUGCCAACCCGAGGCUCGGGUUGGGCAGUUUCGCAGGAGGUGUACCGGUACACUUUCCCGUGUACCGGUACACAAUGCAGAAUCUGGGCUGUUUCGUGGGGGGUGUUUUUGCAAUUAUUGCAACCUCUAUUUAAGCACACCCCAGCCCCCUUGUGAGCUCUUUUGAGCCCUAGAUCAGUGGAGAACAGGUGAGAACUCCUCCCCUUUGGCUUCUUCUCCAUUUUUGUUGGGUUUUUGCUAGUUUUGAUCUCUUUUCUCUUCUCCUUCUUGCUUUUUGUGGGUUUUUCACCAUUGGAGAAGUGUGAGAUCUUGGUUGGAGCUUGUUUGAGGAUCAACCUUCAACCCUAGAGGACUUUGGAGCUUGGGUUGGAGCUUCUAAGAGGUUUGUAGCUAUUUCUCUCAUCUAGAUUCGGAUUUUGUGGAAUAUCACUAGAUCAAACCCUAGAUUUAGCAUUUUAGGGCUUAAAAUGGAAAUUUUUGAUUUGUGGGCUUGGGAACCAAAUUGAUGGGUUUAGAACCUUUGUUUAGGUUAGAUUGGAAGGACUCUAACUCCCGUUUGGAGAUCGAGAAAGCUUCCUUCGCAAUCGGUGAGUUUUUCCCUAACCCUAGCUUGAGAAGCUUAAAAAUUGAACUUAGCGUCAUUCGUUUCGACUAGAUGACACUUGUUUCCAUACCUUUAGGGUACUAGGAGGCUUGAGGACACCCUCGUCGAGGCAAACGAGAACUUUCAUUGACGACGAUGGGUUUGGCUUCUGUAAAAUUGGAGGAAAUUCCUCCUAAGUGGUUAAAUGCUUUCAUUCUCUUUAAAUUCAUGCAUAUUCAUGUUUAGUAGCAUUUAUGAGAGUUUUUGAAUGCUUAGAACUCAUAUGUUAUGCAUCAAGAAAAUUUACUCUAUAUAGUAGAGAGAGAGACAAUAUGCUUUGUUAAUAUGCAAGCGGCGAACAUUCUAUGAGAUGGUAGGAAAUCAAGUUUCCCGCUUCGAUUUUGACUAGAAUUAUAAGUGCUUGAACUUAGUAUCCAUAUUGGGACAAAAUGAGCCAUAGUGUCAUAAAGAGGCACUUGGCCGAGAGAAUUAUUAAACUGCUACAUAGAGGCUUGAUAAUAGGUCACGUUGACAUCAACUACAUUCCAUAUUUAAGAUAUGAUGAAAUAGUGAUUUGGCCACGAUGACAUUUAUUAUAUUCCAUGUUUGAGACAUGACGACCUAGAGAUAGGCCUAUGAGAUUGGUGACAUAUUCCAUGUUAUUAGACAUGAGGACUUGGUACUUGUGACAGAUCGUUUGACUACUUGCCAUUGUGCUCAUUCGCACAUGCUUGUGAGGGUCGCUCCCUACAAGCCGGCACUCCGGAGAUGGCCAUCGCGAUACAUAUUCGCCGUGCGGGAUUGGGCGCCGAAGUGGAUUGCCGUGGGCCAGGCUCACUCCUAGGGUGGGGGUGAUGACUACCACGGGGCCAUUAGGCUCGGCACCGGCCAGACAGCCUACGGGUGGGUCUCAGGGCCAUAGACAGCCUUCGGGUGGGUCUCUUCAGAUUUGACUUUGUGUAUCCAUUAUGACAUGUGGACAGAUGAGGAUUUAGUAUACUACUUGGACAUUGAUUAGAAUAGUAAACAACGGAACUUUACUAUUUCACAUUGUGAACAUCAUGAUAGUUGGAGACAUUUACUUCAUGCAUAGUUACUUUCAUACUGUUACUAUUCAUGCUAAGUAGAGAUAUCACGUCGUAAUAGGUUACAUUUUUACUUACCUGCCGCCUUUCUACUUUUAUAGUCACUGACAUCUUUUGUAGCUUUGGGCCUUGUGGUGCAUUCACUGAAGUCAGUAAUUGCCCACUGGGAACUAUUUUUAAUAGUUCUCAUGCCCCCGUUUUGUGGUUUACUUUUCAGAGCCUUCGGCACCGGCGGAGGCACGGGAUCGCGGCAAGGGGAUCGCUUAGCUAGCUAGCGAGGAGCGGUACUUUGCCUAGGUGGUUUACUCUUUCUUUUUGUAGUUGAGAGAGAGUGAGAGAUUUUGUAUCCAUGUAUAGAGACCACCUAUGUACCUACUUUUAACUCUUGUAUUUGGGAUUUCCUGUUGUUCUUACUCUAUGUUUCAUUAAGUGGAUUUACAGUUUUAUCCUUAUCCCUUGUUGUAGCAUUUAGACAUUUAUUAUGCUCUGAUACUCCUAGGUAUCUCUUAUUACUGCUUUUAUUAUCGUUGUUUUUAGACGCCUUAUAUGUUGUAGACAUAUGGCGGGUCUGGACACGCGUCGGACGGGCUUCCGCUGGGUCCCGGGGCGUGACAGAUUAAUUUGGUAUCAGAGCCUAGGGUUGAGUCUUAGGGGACCUAGUAAACCUUAGGCCGGUUGGACUAUAGGAAAUAGGCUCGUGAGAGACGAGGUCUAUUCGAUUUGUAAGCGAAAGUAUCUAGAUUGGGUAUCUUGAAUAACUCUAGAAAGUGGAGUUAAAUUGAAGUGUAUAACUCCUAACUUCGCGGAGGGUUACGUUGGCGGCCGACAACGUAACAUCGGGAGUUAGUAGUGAAGAACACUUCUUUACUUUCGCAUGAUUUGUGGGUUUGUCUUUUGAGUGGGGAUGCGAUAGCGUGAGUAUUUCUAACUUGCGCUUUUAUGUUUUGUAGUGACGAUGCCGAUUACUCGCUCCCAAUCUGCCGGGGCGGACAAUGCGGCAAACUUUGAGGAGGUCGAGACCUCCGCUACCUCCGGAUCCAGUGAGGUCCGUGAGUUGAGGGGCCAGUUUGCGGCCCUCACCGACUUGGUCACUCAGCAGGCAGAGGCGGCCCGACAGCAGACCGAGGCGGCGCGCCGACAGGAGGCGCGGAUGAAGCGUCUGGAGGACUUACUGUUGCAGCAGACGGCAGCUUCUAGGGAGACGCAGGGCCCUACACCGCCAGCACCAGUUGUGGAUGUUGCACCGAGAGCACCGUCCCCUGCGCCCAGUUCUUCGCGUGCGGCGCCUGCGGCCGUACCCCAGGAGGAGGUUUUGGUAGCACCACCUGUGCAGAGGCCCCCGGUUGGAGCAGCUUUCCCUACUUUGGUUGAGGGGGCGGAGCGAGAUAGACUGAUGGAGCGCCUCAAUGAGUUCAGGAGGUGCAGCCCCCGAGUCUUCGACGGCGAGAAGGUCGACCACUGGAUCGUGGAGAAGUGGUUGAUGCAUAUGGAGAAGCUCUUCCGCGACACCUUCGUGGAGGAGAGGGACAGAGUUUGGCUCGCCACUCACCACUUGGACGGCGAGGCCUACCGCUGGUGGUUGGAUUUUCAGGAGCACCCCAGCACUGACUUGGCAUCUAUCACUUGGACGAGGUUCAAGGAGCUUCUUCUGGCGCACUACUUCCCGACCAGCGUCAAGCGGAAGAUGGAGCAGGAUCUGCGCAACUUGCGCCAGGGCGACCGGACCGUAGCCGAGUACGAGAGGGAGUUUUCUCGCCUUCUGCAUUGCGUGCCCUUCGUCGUGCGGGACGACGAGGACAAGGCCCGCAUCUUCGAGCGAGGGUUGCGACCGUCGAUUUUCCGGUUUGUGCAAUCCUCUAACCUCCAAACCUACCGGGAGGUGGUGGAUCGCGCGCUCAUCGUGGAGAGCGGCGCAGCAGAGGUCCAGGAGCAGCGAGAGGCUAGGGACAAGGGUAAGGCCAAGAGGCCUGCGGCUGAGGGUGCGAGCCAGACGCACUCUAGGAGGCCGCCGAAGCAUCCGAGGAGCCAGCAGCGUGGACGCUGCUCGGCAGCGCAUCGAGGAGGAUCCGAGCGGCGCCGGCCUUCCCCGUGUGUGAUCUGCGGUGGUCCCCAUUAUCCACCGCAGUGUCCACAGCGGGCGGGCAGGUGUUUCCAGUGUGGCCAGGAGGGCCACGUGCGUACCGAGUGCCCGAGAGGUUCUUCACCGGCACCGUCGACUGCAUCGGCACCGGCUCUACCAGCCGUCAGCCACGGGACUCCGUCGACACAGUACCAGCCUGGGCGGCCACCCGUCCAGCGCCAGAGCGAGGGAUCUCGACAGGCCCCGAGUGGGCGCAUGUACGCCGCUCAGACCGAGGAGGCGGCAGCAGCCGAGGAUGUGGUUGCAGGUAUCAUUUUACUUGAUGGCAUUAGAGUUCGUGCUUUAUUUGAUACCGGUGCAUCGCAUUCAUUUAUAGAUCGGCUGUUUGCCGAGUUGCAUGGCAUCCCUUUGGUUCCUUUGUUGCAUACGGGACAUGUUGUGGUACCCGACCACAUCUUGGACAUUAGAGAGUUUAGCCCCAGUUGCCCUAUUCGGGUAGGAGAUUGGAUCAUGCCUAUAGAUUUGCUAGCUUUGCGCAAGCUUGGAAAUUUUGAUGUGGUCUUGGGCAUGGAUUGGUUGACCAAGUAUUAUGCCACGAUUGAUUGUAAGAAUCGCACGGUUACUUUUAGAGAACCUGGGCAGACCGAGGUGGUAUUUAGUGGAUUCCGGAGUUCGCUGUUUGCGAUGACGAUCAGCUCGUCUCGAGCUAGGCAGCUGAUUAGUAGAGGUUGUGUAGCCUAUUUGGCUAGUGUGGUACUGAGGGACGAAGAUGACACCCCUAGGAUUGAGGAUAUCCCGGUGGUGCGGGAGUUCCAGGAUGUGUUUCCAGCUGAGCUACCGGGUAUGCCUCCUGAUAGGGAGAUUUGAGUUUGUGGUAGAUCUCGUCCCUGGGACUACCCCAAUCUCAAAGGCACCCUAUAGGAUGGCACCGGCGGAGCUGAGGGAGCUGAGGGCACAGUUGCAGGAUUUGUUGGACAAAGGCUUCAUUUGACUGAGCGUUUCACCUUGGGGAGCGCCCGUUUUGUUCGUCAAGAAGAAAGACGGAUCACUUCGCCUUUGUGUGGAUUAUCGUGAACUUAAUAAGGUCACGAUCAAGAACAAGUAUCCGUUGCCAAGGAUCGACGACUUGUUUGAUCAGCUUCAGGGAUCAUGUGUGUAUUCCAAGAUCGACUUGCAGUCGGGAUACCACCAAUUAAAGGUCAAAUCGGAGGAUGUAUCAAAGACGGCUUUCAGGACACGGUAUGGACAUUAUGAGUUCACAGUUAUGCCGUUUGGGCUUACUAAUGCCCCGGCAGCUUUUAUGGAUCUGAUGAACCGUGUCUUUAAGCCUUAUCUAGACAGGUUCGUCGUGGUGUUCAUCGACGAUAUUUUGGUCUACUCUCGAAGUGAUGUAGAGCACGAGGAGCAUUUGAGAAUUGUACUCCAAGUACUUCGGGAAAAGGAGCUUUAUGCUAAGUUAAAGAAAUGUGAGUUUUGGCUUCGAGAGGUAGCUUUCCUUGGACACUUGAUUUCGGGAUCGGGUAUAGCCGUGGAUCCUAAGAAGAUUGAAGCAAUCAAGGAUUGGCCGAGACCGACGAGCGUCACGGAGAUACGGAGCUUCCUUGGGUUGGCCGGUUACUACCGGAGAUUUGUUGAGGGGUUUGCUAAACUGUCUACUCCCCUCACGAGACUCACGCAUAAAGGUGUUAAGUUCAUUUGGAAUGAUGCGUGCGAGCGAAGCUUCCAAGAGUUGAAGCAACGAUUGACUACCGCCCCAAUCCUGACCCUACCAGUAGCUGGAGCCGGGUAUGUGGUUUAUAGUGAUGCUUCACUUAAUGGAUUGGGCUGUGUGUUGAUGCAGGAUGGCAAGGUGAUCGCGUAUGUUUCUCGCCAGCUAAAGGAAUAUGAGAAGAACUACCCGACGCAUGAUUUGGAGUUGGCGGCCGUAGUGUUCGCAUUGAAGCUAUGGCGCCACUAUCUUUAUGGCGAGCGGUGUGAAGUAUACACGGAUCACAAGAGCUUAAAGUACCUAUUUACUCAGAAGGAGUUGAACUUGAGGCAGCGCAGAUGGUUGGAGCUACUCAAGGAUUAUGAUCUGACGAUUCUUUACCACCCGGGCAAGGCUAACGUGGUGGCGGAUGCGCUAAGUAGGAAAUCGAUGGAAAACUUAGCGAUGCAUGUUGUGACUCAACCGCAGUUGAUCGAGCAGAUGAAGCGGUUGGAGUUAGAGAUAGUGACUCCUGACACACCCUUGAGGUUGAUGACAUUAGUAGUGCAACUACCUUGUUGGACCGAAUUAAAGAAAAGCAAGCUUCCGAUGUGGAGUUGCAAAAGAUUAGGGGAAAAAUGGUUGAUGGUUGCACCGAUGAAUUCCUUGUGGACGACCGAGGGUUGAUGCGCUUUCGAGGACGACUAUGUGUUCCGGCGGACUCGGGAAUUAAAGAAGACAUUCUUCAAGAAGCGCACCGGGCGCCCUAUGCUAUACAUCCGGGAGGCACCAAAAUGUAUAAGGACUUAAAGUUGCUCUAUUGGUGGCCUGGGAUGAAAAAGGAUGUUGGCGAGUUUGUAGCUAAAUGCUUAACCUGCCAACAAGUGAAGGCUGAGCACCGAGUUCCCGCGGGGAAGCUUCAGAGUUUGCCUAUUCCAGUGUGGAAGUGGGAGAAGAUCACUAUGGACUUUGUGACAGGAUUGCCACGCUCACAGGCGGGGCAUGACGCUAUUUGGGUGAUCGUGGAUAGGCUGACGAAGUCGGCGCACUUCAUACCUAUUCAUACGACUUGGACCGGAGAGAAGCUCGCACAAGUGUACCUUGAUGAGAUUGUGCGACUUCAUGGAGUGCCUACAUCGAUUGUAUCUGAUCGCGACACACGCUUCCUGUCUCACUUUUAGAGGAGUCUACAGGACGCCCUAGGCACUCGUCUGGACUUCAGUACUGCUUUCCACCCGCAGAGUGAUGGGCAGUCAGAGCGCACUAUUCAGACCUUAGAGGAUAUGCUCCGGGCAUGUGUGAUAGACUUCCAGGGAGGAUGGUCGCAGUAUCUACCUAUGGCGGAGUUUGCUUAUAACAACAGUUAUCAAGCAAGCAUCAAGUGUACCUUGAUGAGAUUGUGCGACUUGGACCGGAGAGAAGCUCGCCAGGGUGACAGGACUAGCCGAGUACGAGAGGGAGUUUUCUCGGCUUCUGCAUUGCGUGCCCUUCGUCGUGCGGGACGACGAGGACAAGGCCCGCAUCUUCGAGCGAGGGUUGAGACCGUCUAUCUUUCGGUUCGUGCAAUCCUCUAACCUCCAAACCUACCGGGAGGUGGUGGAUCGCGCGCUCAUUGUGGAGAGCGGCACGGCAGAGGUUCAGGAGCAGCGAGAUGCUAGGGACAAGGGUAAGGCCAAGAGGCCUGCGGCUGAGGGUGCGAGCCAGACGCACUCUAGGAGGCCGCCGAAGCAUCCGAGGAGCCAGCAGCGUGGGCGUGGCUCGGCGACUCACCGUGGAGGUUCCGACCGACGCCGACCUCCCGAGUGCGU